rnacentral:lncRNA from 1 species
CUGUCCUUUCUUCCUUUUGGUGCGAGCUUGCUGUGGUUUUUGCUCUGGGUCCUCUGGGAUGGCGCCUGGCUGUGGCCGCGUGGUCUCUCACGCAGGGGCGCCGGGCGGGGGAACGCGGCCACCCUGAGUCUGCAGCGUGCCUGGUUACAGCUGUUUCCACGUGCGGUGCUCGUCGGGAGUGAUCACCUACCCUACAGGUGGAAGAUGGAUGCCUGAAGUGUAGACUGCUGCUAGCUGAAUACCAUCUGGGAGCAUAAAGGUGACCUGAAGGAUGUCCUUGGUGAGGAUUUUGAAAAUUUGAUCUUCACAAGAGUUGCCUGGAUCAUUUGAAAUUUCUGGGAGUCUGAGGAGUACUGACAUAAUUACCUGCUGGAGUCUGUAAAUACACAUUUAAGACAGUGAGGAUGUGAAUAAAUAUAUUAAUGCACUUUG